UACGAAGGGGGCUAGCGUUGCUCGGAAUUACUGGGCGUAAAGGGCGCGUAGGCGGAUGUUUAAGUCAGAGGUGAAAGCCCAGGGCUCAACCUUGGAACUGCCUUUGAUACUGGACAUCUUGAGUGUGGGAGAGGUGAGUGGAACUCCGAGUGUAGAGGUGAAAUUCGUAGAUAUUCGGAAGAACACCAGUGGCGAAGGCGACUCACUGGCCCAUUACUGACGCUGAGGCGCGAAAGCGUGGGGAGCAAACAGG
rnacentral:rRNA from 1 species